AACGGAAAGGCCCUGCUUUUGUGGGGUGCUCGAGUGGCGAACGGGUGAGUAACACGUGAGUAACCUGCCCUUGACUUUGGGAUAACUUCAGGAAACUGGGGCUAAUACCGGAUAGGAGCUCCUGCUGCAUGGUGGGGGUUGGAAAGUUUCGGCGGUUGGGGAUGGACUCGCGGCUUAUCAGCUUGUUGGUGGGGUAGUGGCUUACCAAGGCUUUGACGGGUAGCCGGCCUGAGAGGGUGACCGGCCACAUUGGGACUGAGAUACGGCCCAGACUCCUACGGGAGGCAGCAGUGGGGAAUAUUGCACAAUGGGCGGAAGCCUGAUGCAGCAACGCCGCGUGCGGGAUGACGGCCUUCGGGUUGUAAACCGCUUUCGCCUGUGACGAAGCGUGAGUGACGGUAAUGGGUAAAGAAGCACCGGCUAACUACGUGCCAGCAGCCGCGGUGAUACGUAGGGUGCGAGCGUUGUCCGGAUUUAUUGGGCGUAAAGGGCUCGUAGGUGGUUGAUCGCGUCGGAAGUGUAAUCUUGGGGCUUAACCCUGAGCGUGCUUUCGAUACGGGUUGACUUGAGGAAGGUAGGGGAGAAUGGAAUUCCUGGUGGAGCGGUGGAAUGCGCAGAUAUCAGGAGGAACACCAGUGGCGAAGGCGGUUCUCUGGGCCUUUCCUGAUGCUGAGGAGCGAAAGCGUGGGGAGCGAACAGGCUUAGAUACCCUGGU
rnacentral:rRNA from 1 species